UGAUAAUUCACAGCCCGGAAGGAACACUACCUUAUUUAGAUGUGCUGCCCCGUAGAAGUGGGCCCUGUAUUCAGAAGUCAUUCAUUGAGACCCUGGCUUGUAGCUGUGUGGACCCCAUACUCUCUUCCUAUUCCAAACCUUCCUAUUCCACCAGGGUGCCCUUCUACAAGGGCCAGGACCUCCUCCAGGCCACAGCAGUCACCUGGAUGAUGAGGGCUCCAGGAGGCACCCUCAACCCUGGAAUUCUCUUUUUCCAAUAAGAGAUCCAGGUGAGAACCGUGAGGAUGGGCACUUGGACACGAAGAGGUUGCUUUGGCCCGAGCAGCAACAACGUUGGUCACUCAAGCCUUCACCAGGUUCUGCUCCACGCAGAAGGAAGGAAAGCCCAUCUCAUCAGGCCUUGGGCACCAACAACACAAAGAGUUCCUUGCUAGCAAUACAUUUUCCGAUAUGUUUUUUUCAACAAGAGGAAGGAGGCUGGUUGCAAAAAUCAAAAUUUGAAUCUUCUCCGCCUAUUGGAGAGCCCAGCGUUCACGGCACUUC
rnacentral:lncRNA from 1 species